rnacentral:rRNA from 1 species
UACGUAGGGUGCAAGCGUUAAUCGGAAUUACUGGGCGUAAAGCGUGCGCAGGCGGUUUUGUAAGUCAGAUGUGAAAUCCCCGGGCUUAACCUGGGAACUGCGUUUGAAACUACAAGGCUAGAGUGUGGCAGAGGGGGGUGGAAUUCCACGUGUAGCAGUGAAAUGCGUAGAGAUGUGGAGGAACACCGAUGGCGAAGGCAGCCCCCUGGGUUAACACUGAGCUGAGGUGCGGAAAGCGUGGGGAGCAAACAG